CCUACUGGUGGCAUCAUUGGGGCAUCUUGGGCAAUGGGCGCAAGCCUGACCCAGCAACGCCGCGUGAAGUCCUCCUUCUUUCUUUUUUUCCCCUUCUUUUCCUCUUUCCUCUCAUAAGACGUUACCUCUUGAAUAAGCCACGGCUAACUACGUGCCAGCAGCCGCGGUAAUACGUAGGUGGCAAGCGUUGUCCUUAUUUACUGGGUGUAAAGGGCGUGCAGCCGGGAAGACAAGUCAGAUGUGAAAUCCCGCGGCUCAACCGCGGAACGGCAGUUGAAACUGUUUUUCUUGAGUACCGGAGAGGUCAUCGGAAUUAAUUGUGUAGAGGUGAAAUGCGUAGAGAUAAGGAAGAACACCAGUGGAGAAGGCGGAUGACUGGACGGCAAAUGAAGGUGAGGCGCGAAAGCGGGGGGAGAAAACAGGAUUAGAGAAAAGGGGAGUC
rnacentral:rRNA from 1 species